rnacentral:tRNA from 1 species
GGGCGGUUAGCUCAGUUGGUUAGAGCGCCGCGUUGACAUCGCAGAGGUCAGUGGUUCAAGUCCUCUACCGCCCACCA